GUUUAUUCAUUUAUUUAUUUAUACCAGUAAUUUACUAUACUUCUGCUUAUAUUACUCUUAUUGCAGUUGUUUUUUUUGCUUUAUUAUUGUAUUUUAAAUUACUGUCUCUUGUGGAAUGUGUUGUUUCUGGAAACUUAGAUAUCAAUUGAGGCAAUUGAUGUUGACCUAGUAGGGUAAUGUAGUUGAACUACUUCUAUUUUAUAAUUUGAAUGACGGUGGUGUGUGGGCCAGUUUAAGCCAUUUCGAGUAUUCCGUUGGAUACCUGCUAUCUCCUACCAACAUAGGUACCGGAUAGCUGUGCCCAUUAUGGCUUACGCAGAUGGAAGAAAUCACCUAGUAUUUUUUUGCAUCUGUCAGGAUUUGAACCUGAGUUCUCAUCCAACUUCGUUGACCUCUAGGCCGCACCCCUUGGAUGUUGAAGUACUCCCAUAUUCAUCUGUUGUGAGUGGAAAUUGAGAAUGUUUGAAUUCUUUCGUCACGUUGUGCACAGAGCUUACUUGCUUGGUUGAGGGAGAGCCCAAAGAACAUUGUCAAUUGCUUAAAGGGGGAGUCUUUGCUUGAGUUUAAGUGCGCAUUCAGGAAGCUUUUAAUUUUGAAGUAUCCUAGGACAUGGAUGUAUGGAGAAAAAGCAAAGGUUUUACUAGUGCAGGACGUAUUUGAUGCAUUUUUAUGAUUGGCUUAUUAGUGCAUGCCGAUCAGGCGAUCCUUGUCAUGGUUUAAUGUAUAAAUAAAGUUUUGAAUUUGGUGUUUGAAUGAAAGCUAUAUCAAACUCAUCUCA